rnacentral:tRNA from 2 species
GCGGAUGUGGCGAAAUUGGCAGACGCACUAGACUUAGGAUCUAGCGCCGCAAGGCAUGUGGGUUCGACCCCCUCCAUCCGCAC